rnacentral:tRNA from 1 species
GGACCGGUAGCCUAGCCAGGAUAGGGCAUCGGCCUCCUAAGCCGAGGGUCCGGGGUUCGAAUCCCCGCCGGUCCG